rnacentral:rRNA from 1 species
UACACAUGCAGUCGAACGGCAGCGCGGGGCAACCUGGCGGCGAGUGGCGAACGGGUGAGUAAUAUAUCGGAACGUACCCAAGAGUGGGGGAUAACGUAGCGAAAGUUACGCUAAUACCGCAUACGAUCUAAGGAUGAAAGCAGGGGAUCUUCGGACCUUGUGCUCCUGGAGCGGCCGAUAUCUGAUUAGCUAGUUGGUGAGGUAAAGGCUCACCAAGGCCACGAUCAGUAGCUGGUCUGAGAGGACGACCAGCCACACUGGAACUGAGACACGGUCCAGACUCCUACGGGAGGCAGCAGUGGGGAAUUUUGGACAAUGGGCGAAAGCCUGAUCCAGCAAUGCCGCGUGAGUGAAGAAGGCCUUCGGGUUGUAAAGCUCUUUUGUCAGGGAAGAAACGGUUUGGGCUAAUACCCUGAGCUAAUGACGGUACCUGAAGAAUAAGCACCGGCUAACUACGUGCCAGCAGCCGCGGUAAUACGUAGGGUGCAAGCGUUAAUCGGAAUUACUGGGCGUAAAGCGUGCGCAGGCGGUUUUGUAAGUCUGACGUGAAAUCCCCGGGCUCAACCUGGGAAUUGCGUUGGAGACUGCAAGGCUAGAAUCUGGCAGAGGGGGGUAGAAUUCCACGUGUAGCAGUGAAAUGCGUAGAGAUGUGGAGGAACACCGAUGGCGAAGGCAGCCCCCUGGGUCAAGAUUGACGCUCAUGCACGAAAGCGUGGGGAGCAAACAGGAUUAGAUACCCUGGUAGUCCACGCCCUAAACGAUGUCUACUAGUUGUCGGGUUU